UGAUGGUGUUUAAUACUCCCGAAGUUUGUUUGUUUCAUUUCUGUUUCCUUUCAUUUGUAGCUUUUUUGUCUUCAAGCAUGCUACCAUUCUGUCCAAGGUUAUAUUACCUAUUUGAUUUUUUAUGUAUGUAUAGUUUUUGUGCAUUAUAAUAGUAAAGGAAACAUGCAGUCUAAGAGACAAUUUAGGGGCAGGUUUAGGGUUGGGGUAUGUUUAGGCGGCAGUAUGUUUAGGGGCGGGGUUAGAAGAUAAAAUGAGCCCUGUGUCUGAGAAUGCACCUUCACAUCGGUCUGCCACCAGAUCUCUCUCAAUCAAACAGCAGCUCAACAAAGUCUCAUUGAGGGUUUCAAACGUGUGGCAGAAAACCAACAUACAGCACACAUCUUAGACCAUAAAAAUGGCUAAAGCUUAUGUAGAAGCGGGAGUUGGACAAGUUGGAACUGAAUUUUCAGUUGGUGCAGAAGCCAAAGGUCCGAAUGCCUCAGCUGGUAUUGGAAUUGAUGCGGAUGGAGGAGCAGAAGCAAUGGCUCGAGCUGAAAUUGGCAGUGCAUCAGUUCAUGCUGGUCCAGUCGGUGUGAAAGUGGGACUCGGAGUCGACACCGGUGCAUCUGUUGGUCCAAACGGGCUGGAGGUCAAAGUCCUGGGAACUGGAGUCACGCUUGGUCCGAAUCCCAGUAUUGCUCUUCUGGGUUCAGAAGUGUCAUGUUCAGUCAUGUAGACAUGCAGGUGUGUUGCAUUAGAUGGCACCAUUGACAGUUUGGAUCCAACUUUUGUGAAGAUUUUAAGUGACACCUAAUUAACCAAGUUAAGUCUUUAAAUUUCACUUUAAGCUGAAUACUAGUAUCCUGUGAAUUAACUAGUAAAAUAUAAUGCAAUGUCACCAUCACAACAACAAGACAUUAGUUAUUAAAGGGCUCCUAUUUUACCCCCUUUAAAACAUCUUACAUAAGUCUUCUGUGUCUCCAGAAUGUGUCUGUAAAGUUUCAGCUAAAAAUACCAUUUUACCACUUAUACCCUCCUGAAUAUUCACAUUUUAUGCUCAGAUGACAGUGUAGCUGUUUUUGUUGCCUGUGUGCAAUGCAACGACGCAUUAUUUUCUACACACACGUUUACACUGUUUGCACAUCUACUUGAAGCAUCCUCGUAUAGCCUCUAUGCGGCUGUGGUGCUUCAAUAAUCCGUUAUGAAUUACAUUGAUUUUACAGUCUUUUCUAUAUUACAAACAUCCACUGUUUUAAAACCGUUUGAAACUCAUUCUUGGGGUACUGCUGAUCACAGAGAGUCUGAGCAGAUCUUUUAAUCCCUUUUUCCCAUUUUGUGGACAUGUUUAUGGAGACAUGUCAAUCAGUUUUGUGGGUAGGGAAACCGUACUCCUAUGUCACAUUGCAGUGGGCCUCAAGAUAACUGUGAUUUGGAUCAAUUUUAACAUCAAGAAAUUGAAAUAAAAACUUAUAUCCAAUAUACAGUGUGCCCACACUAAACCUACACAAAGUUCUGUCCAAACAGCUUACAAAAGUUAAUUUUGCAUCAAAAUUGCUUUUUAAAAGUUUUGUGUUUGAAAGUAUGUUGAAAAAAAAUCUCUUUCAAAUUUCACAGGAGGGCAAAUCUUUUUGACUUCAACUGAAUAUAGCUGAUGUUGAACGGUUUCUUCUGUAUUGGGCAAUCAUGCAAUGUAAGCAUGUACUGGUGAACUUAAAGCAUGACACAAAAUAAAACUGAAUC